CACACAUAUAUAUAUAUUUAUACACACACACAAUAAUCACACACAUAAAGCAAAAAAAGAAUUAAUUAAAAUAGUUGUUUCAAAUGUUAUGUUAGUUAUUUUACUAUUUAAUUUUUAAAAAGUCAACCUUUUGUACAUGCAGUAGAUGGGGCAUGUACAGGAAUUGAAGGUCCAGAGUUUUGAAGUUUGUGGAAUUUAGGUGGAAAAAGCUGUUCAGCUGAGCUUUACGCCUGCAUUAUUUAGUUUCACUCUUCAAUUUUUAAUCAAAAAAGUCGAAAUUCAAAUAUAAUUAGAAGAUUUUACCUUUUCUCUUUUCUCUUUUCUCCCUCCAACGCUUCCCUUGCUUUCUCUCAAGUUGACCUGUUUCCUUAAUUAUUAUUUAUAUGAAAUAUAUACUCAGUCUGCAGAAUAUUUUUUGCAUGUAUAUGACUUCAGAGUUGACCACUAGGUAUUUAAUUGUUGUUACAUCACCCUUCAUUAAACAAGCACCCACUGAGCCUGUUUUGAUGAUUCCUAAUUUGUAGUGGGCUGGCCUAAUGCUACUUGUAUUCUAAUGCUAAUUUCGGAUGACCCUGCCCCAGUUAAUUGUGAAUGGCAAAUAAAGAUGCCAACUGCCAAUAUCUAGGUAGAAGAGACAUAGGUGGGGUUGAGGUUUCACAGGCAUGGGGAGAGGACAACAAGGAGGGAAGGAGGAGGAAGAACCCACCAUGGAAUAGAAGAAGAUGCAGGAGAGGAGAAGGAGAAACAGCAAUGUGUUAAAAGAGAGGAGAGUAUGACCCUGGGGGGUGCCCAAUAGGAGCUAAGAGCAGCCCAGAUGAAACAAAGUAAUAUCUCAGGGUUAUUGAAAGAAAAAUAGAUUCUAAUAGCAUUGAGGGUAGGCAGCUGCUUAGGGUAUAUUGUAAAUAUAAAGGCUGAAUACGUCUUUCUUCUGGGAACCUAAUGAACAAGGCUGAGUAGAAGACCCAGCCCAGGAGUUUACAUAAUUUUUAACACUAAUUCUUAUAGGAAAAAUAUAGUCUUAACCAGAAAGCAGUGCUCAAUGGCAAAUAAUGUAUCUAAGUUUUUCAGCAAAUAGUCCAGUAGAGAUUUACCUUAAAAGGUGCUCAACUACUAAUUUUUCUUUCUAUUCUUAGAAGACACAUAAAGCUCGAUACAUGAAAGGACAGGGAGAUAAGGCAGCCUUAUAUGAGAUGCUUGAGGACACAGAAGCCAGGAGAGUGAAGAGACUCUUUUCAAGGUAAACGUAACUGACUGACAGCACAGAAUGGACAAGAAUCAAAUUCUGAUUCUUCUUUCAGAGUCAUGCCCUGAAGACAACCCAUGCUGGAUGUGGUGAACUGCUUAAUUUCCAAAACAAGGGAAGAAGUGAUGACAAACCCAAGCUACUGUCUGAAUAUUUCAUGGACAUCCCUGUCUAUUCCCUGAACCAUGCGAAGUCUGAUUCUCAGAGAAGUGGCCUGCCCAGCUAGGGAACUCUCUAAUAUUCUCUGCUUAUGAUCCAUUCAGGUUCUGGAACUCUGAACCUUGGCUGUCAUGUUCCAACAGCAAAUGCGUUUACACACCAAACAACUUCCACUGCUCUUCUACUGCUUAUUGAAUGGGAUCCCUAGAGUCUGAUGUCUGGGACAGAAAACUCAUUUUUCAAGGGUAAUGCAGGAACAAAGAAUGGAGCAGAGACUGAAGGAAAGACCAUCCAAAGACUGCCUCACCUAGGCAUCCAUCCUAUCUGAAGACAUCAAACCCAUACACUCUUCCUGAUGCCAAGAAAUGCUAGCUGACAAGAGCCUGGUAUAGCUGUCCCCUGAGAGACUGUGCCAGAGCCUGACCAAUACAAAGGAAGAUGCUUGCAGCCAACAAUGAACUGAGCACUGGGACCCCAAUGGAGAAGUUAUGGCAAGGACUGAAGGAGCUGAUGGGUUUUGCAACCCCAUAGGAAGAAUAAAAAAAUCAACCAACCAGAACCCCCACACCCCCAAAGCUCCCGGGACUAAACCACCAGCCAAAGAGUACACAUGGAGCCUUGUGGCUCCAGCUGCAUACAUAGCAGAAGAUUACCUUAUCUGGUAUCAACAGGAAGGGAGCCCCUUGGUCCUAUGGAGGCUUGAUGAUCCAGAGUAGGGGAAUGCUAUGGCACUGAGGCUGGAGUGGGUUGGAGGGUGGUGGAACACCCUCAUAGAAGCAGGGGAAACAGGGGAAGAGGAUAAGGGAUUUACCUGGGAAGGGGGAUAACAUUUGAAUUGUAAAUAAAUAAAAUAACCAAUAAAAUAAAAAAUUUUUUAAAAAGACAAAAAAAUUCUAGCAAAAUAUACUUUUAGCAAUUGAAAACUAUUUUCAAAUUGAAGGUAAAAAAAUGGACCUGGACUAUCCAAAAUAUAUGAAAAGUAAUUGUAUUGUACUACCUGUCAUAAAGAUUUACAUCAAAUUUGCAAUAAGACUGUUUAGUGUUUGAAUAAAUAUAGAUUUGAUGACCCAUGAAGCAGAAAGAUGAAUCCAGAAAUGAAAAGAUUGACAUUUGAAACAAGAUGUGAAAUUAAUUCAGUUGGGGGAAGGUGAGUACUGUUAAUGAUGGUGCUAAGAAGUUUAGAUGGCCA